GGGCCGCACGCGCGCUACACUGACGGAGCCAGCGAGUUUAUACCUUGGCCGAGAGGUCUGGGAAAUCUUGUGAAACUCCGUCGUGCUGGGGAUAGAGCAUUGUAAUUAUUGCUCUUCAACGAGGAAUUCCUAGUAAGCGCAAGUCAUCAGCUUGCGUUGAUUACGUCCC
rnacentral:rRNA from 2 species